rfam:Terribacillus aidingensis strain MP602, complete genome.
UCUGGUGGUAAUAGCGAAGAGGUCACACCUGUUCCCAUGCCGAACACAGUAGUUAAGCUCUUCAGCGCCGAUGGUAGUUGGGUUCGCCCUGCGAGAGUAGGACGUUGCCAGGC